UGGGGAAUAUUGGACAAUGGGCGAAAGCCUGAUCCAGCCAUGCCGCGUGUGUGAAGAAGGUCUUCGGAUUGUAAAGCACUUUAAGUUGGGAGGAAGGUCAGUAAGCGAAUACCUUGCUGUUUUGACGUUACCGACAGAAUAAGCACCGGCUAACUCUGUGCCAGCAGCCGCGGUAAUACAGAGGGUGCAAGCGUUAAUCGGAAUUACUGGGCGUAAAGCGCGCGUAGGUGGUUCGUUAAGUUGAAUGUGAAAGCCCCGGGCUCAACCUGGGAACUGCAUCCAAAACUGGCGAGCUAGAGUAGGGCAGAGGGUGGUGGAAUUUCCUGUGUAGCGGUGAAAUGCGUAGAUAUAGGAAGGAACACCAGUGGCGAAGGCGACCACCUGGGCUCAUACUGACACUGAGGUGCGAAAGCGUGGGGAGCAAACAGG
rnacentral:rRNA from 1 species